rnacentral:rRNA from 1 species
UACAGAGGGGGCAAGCGUUAUUCGGAAUUAUUGGGCGUAAAGGGCGCGUAGGCGGCUUCGCAAGUGGAAGGUGAAAUCCCUCGGCUUAACCGAGGAACUGCCCUCCAAACUGCGUUGCUUGAGGCCGGGAGAGGUGAGUGGAAUUCCCAGUGUAGCGGUGAAAUGCGUAGAUAUUGGGAGGAACACCAGUGGCGAAGGCGGCUCACUGGACCGGUUCUGACGCUGAGGCGCGAAAAGCGUGGGGAGCAAACGGG